GCAGUCGCGGCCCACUAGUUAAAGCGAUGGACUAGAAAUCCAUUGGGGUCUCCCCGCACAGGUUCGAAUCCUGUCGACUGCG
rnacentral:tRNA from 1 species